GACGAACGCUGGCGGCGUGCUUAACACAUGCAAGUCGAACGAAGUGGCGAACGGGUGAGUAACGCGUAAUCAACCUGCCCUUCAGAGGGGGACAACAGUUGGAAACGACUGCUAAUACCGCAUACUGAAGGAGGGGGUUGCGUAUGAUUCGCUAGUUGGAGGGUUAACGGACCACCAAGGCGAUGAUGAGUAGCCGGUCUGGGAGGAUGAACGGCCACAGUGGGCCUGGGGAGCGAGCCAGAGGCAUACGUGAGGAAGCAGUGGGAGAUAUAGGAAGAUGGGCCAAAGUCUGAUGCAGGAAUUCGGUGUGUAAGAUGAAGUUUUUCGGGAUGAAAAGUGCUUUGAGUUGGGAAGCGGUACCAACAGAAGAAGUGACGGCUAAAUACGUGCCAGCAGCCGCGGUAAUAC
rnacentral:rRNA from 1 species